GACAGAGGGUGCAAACGUUUGUUCGGAAUUACUGGGCGUAAAGCGCGUGUAGGCGGCUUCGCAAGUCGGGUGUGAAAUCCCACGGCUCAACCGUGGAAGUGCAUUCGAAACUGCGAGGCUAGAGUCCUGGAGAGGAAGGUGGAAUGCUUGGUGUAGAGGUGAAAUUCGUAGAUAUCAAGCGGAACACCGGUGGCGAAGGCGGCCUCUGGACAGUGACUGACGCUGAGACGCGAAAGCGUGGGGAGCAAACAGGG
rnacentral:rRNA from 1 species